rnacentral:rRNA from 1 species
UACGUAGGCAGCAAGCGUUGUUCGGAGUUACUGGGCGUAAAGGGUGUGUAGGCGGUUGUUUAAGUUUGGUGUGAAAUCUCCCGGCUCAACUGGGAGGGUGCGCCGAAUACUGAAUGACUAGAGUGCGGGAGAGGAAAGUGGAAUUCCGGGUGUAGCGGUGAAAUGCGUAGAUAUCCGGAGGAACACCAGUGGCGAAGGCGGCUUCCUGGACCGACACUGACGCUGAGGCGCGAAAGCUAGGGGAGCAAACGGG